UUUCCGUAGGUGAACCUGCGGAAGGAUCAUUAAGAAAAGCGAGUGCGGAAACGCGCUCUCAUUUCAAACCACUGUGAAAACGCACGUUACUUCGGCAGCUCUCUGGCCGCAAGGUCAGGGAUCAGCCUGUCGACAGCACCAAACCAACCCUUUAUGUAACAGCAGUCUGAAAACGAAACUAAAUCGUUAAAACUUUCAACAACGGAUCUCUUGGUUCUC
rnacentral:misc_RNA from 1 species